rnacentral:rRNA from 1 species
UACGGGGGGGGCAAGCGUUGUUCGGAAUUACUGGGCGUAAAGGGCUCGUAGGUGGCCAACUAAGUCAGACGUGAAAUCCCUCAGCUUAACUGGGGAACUGCGUCUGAUACUGGAUGGCUUGAGUUUGGGAGAGGGAUGCGGAAUUCCAGGUGUAGCGGUGAAAUGCGUAGAUAUCUGGAGGAACACCGGUGGCGAAGGCGGCUUUCUGGACAGAAACUGACGCUGAGGCGCGAAAGCUAGGGGAGCAAACAGG